AGUUAUGACAUCAUAGAAGGCCACUAGGUUGGUCAGGCAACCUUGAUGAAGCCAUGCUGAUCUGCUUUUACCACCUCCACUUCUUCCAUGUGUGUUAUCAUAGCUUUCAGGAGGACCUGUUUCAUGAUCUUCCCCAGCACAGAGGUUGAGAUACAGUUAGAACCACACCUAUCGCAAGACAGGGUUAUGAACUAGAUGUACACUGGACUACAAAAAAGGAUUGCAGCAUGUGCACAAAAAAUCUGCCCAGAGACCCCAGUUGUGAAAAUACCAUACCACCUUACCAUGAGACACUGACAAGAAGAAACACAACUGAUAGAGUAAAUGAGCUGUCUUCUGGUUGGAGUUUACUGACUACAGUACUCAGGAGACCUACAGUAUUUGUAAUGCAAUUAUAGGGGGAGAAAAGAAGACUUGUCCAUGAAUCACAUGUUGGAAUUCAACAUCAAAACCAGAUUCUUCCAACUGUCCAGAAGAUGCCACAAUGGGCUAUACAAGCUGACUUUAAAAAUAAAUCUCUGCAGCUGACA